rnacentral:rRNA from 1 species
UCAGGACGAACGCUGGCGGCGUGCUUAACACAUGCAAGUCGAGCGGAAAGGCCCUUCGGGGUACUCGAGCGGCGAACGGGUGAGUAACACGUGAGUAACCUGCCCUUGGCUCUGGGAUAAGCCCGAGAAAUUGGGUCUAAUACCGGAUAUGACUACCGGCCGCAUGGCUGGUGGUGGAAAGUUUUUCGGCUGGGGAUGGACUCGCGGUCUAUCAGCUUGUUGGUGGGGUGAUGGCCUACCAAGGCGACGACGGAUAGCCGGCCUGAGAGGGUGACCGGCCACACUGGGACUGAGACACGGCCCAGACUCCUACGGGAGGCAGCAGUGGGGAAUAUUGCGCAAUGGGCGAAAGCCUGACGCAGCGACGCCGCGUGGGGGAUGAAGGCCUUCGGGUUGUAAACCUCUUUCACCACCGACGAAGCUAACGUGACGGUAGGUGGGGAAGAAGCGCCGGCUAACUACGUGCCAGCAGCCGCGGUAAUACGUAGGGCGCAAGCGUUGUCCGGAAUUAUUGGGCGUAAAGAGCUCGUAGGCGGUCUGUCGCGUCUGCCGUGAAAACCCGAGGCUUAACCUCGUGGCUUGCGGUGGAUACGGGCAGACUAGAGGUAGGUAGGGGAGAAUGGAAUUCCCGGUGUAGCGGUGAAAUGCGCAGAUAUCGGGAGGAACACCGGUGGCGAAGGCGGUUCUCUGGGCCUUACCUGAC